rnacentral:rRNA from 1 species
AUACGUAGGGAGCGAGCGUUGUCCGGAAUUACUGGGUGUAAAGGGAGCGUAGGCGGGAGUGCAAGUCAGAUGUGAAAUACAUGGGCUCAACCCAUGGGCUGCAUUUGAAACUGCAAUUCUUGAGUGAAGUAGAGGUAAGCGGAAUUCCUGGUGUAGCGGUGAAAUGCGUAGAUAUCAGGAGGAACACCGGUGGCGAAGGCGGCUUACUGGGCUUUUACUGACGCUGAGGCUCGAAAGCGUGGGGAGCAAACAGGAUUAGAUACCCUGGUAGUCCACGCUGUAAACGAUGAUUACUAGGUGUGGGGGGACUGACCCCUUCCGUGCCGCAGUUAACACAAUAAGUAAUCCACCUGGGGAGUACGGCCGCAAGGUUGAAACUCAAAUGAAUUGACGGGG